GCAUCCCGUAUAUCACCUUGCAUUCACUUCUCUGCAUGUCCUACCUUCCAGAAAGUGGUCGUUUUUUGUGUUUGUAAAGUUGCUGCUAUUCUUCUCUUCCAUCUCCUGUUGAGCUUGUAGGUGUUCAGGAUGGUUUGAUAAGUAUCUAGCUGAGCUCCUGGGACCAGACGGUACUUAGGUCUCUUGCUUCAUCUCGUGCCAUCUUGCUUCUUCUGCCUCCUGCUCUCUCUUCCUCCCAAAUAAAUAAAUAAAUGAAAUUUUAAAAGCUUAUUUUACAGUUACAGUAAUUUGGCUGUACCACCGGCUCCAUAAGGGCACGUGUGGAAUAGGUGGAAUAAACUAGAAUAGAAACCUAGAACCAGGUCCACACACACAUGAACCCUGGACAAACCCAACAGUGGCAGAAGGAAAGUCUUUCACUAAAUAGUACUGGGGGAAAGUUUGUAUUCAUUUGAAAAAGAAUAAGAAAUUCGACCUAUCAAAAACAUUUAUAAAACCUGACAUAAAGGAAAAGCCAAAAAGAGUGAUAAAUUUGCCUAUGCCAAAAUUAAGAGUAGUGUCUUAUCACCAAGGAAGGCCACUAAGAAAGCAAAAAGGAAAAAUGUAUCAGAGUAUAAGAAGGAAAGUAAUUAUUUGCAACAUAUAUAAAGAAUAAAACUCAAAUCCUAUGUUAGUUU